rnacentral:rRNA from 1 species
AGAAUCAACGCUGGCGGCGUGCCUAACACAUGCAAGUCGAACGAGAAAGUGGAGCAAUCCAUGAGUAAAGUGGCGACCGGGUGAGUAACACGUGACUAACCUACCUUCGAGGUGGGGGAUAACCUCGGGAAACCGAGGCUAAUACCGCAUAACAUCGCAAGAUCAAAGCAGCAAUGCGCUGGAAGAGGGGGUCGCGGCUGAUUAGCUAGUUGGCGGGUAACGCCCACAAGGCGAAGAUCGGUAGCCGGCCUGAGAGGGCGCACGGCCACACUGGAACUGAAACACGGUCCAGACUCCUACGGGAGGCAGCAGUGGGGAAUUUUGCGCAAUGGGGGAAACCCUGACGCAGCAACGCCGCGUGGAGGAUGAAGCCCCUUGGGGCGUAAACUCCUUUCGACCAAGACGAUAAUGACGGUACUGGUGGAAGAAGCACCGGCUAACUCUGCGCCAGCAGCCGC